CCUUACUGUCUGAGCUAACAUUUCCCAGCUUCCUUACCUUGGAGAGGAGACAGAGAAAGGAGAUGAAGAGGAGGUGAGAACAUGCAGCCCAUUGACAAAGCCAAGGGGUACGAAUUUACUCUGUACAGAUUGAUGAAAUGGGACAGAGAGGGAAAGACAACACAUAGUAUCAAACAGAUAAGAUGCAUCCUUUGAAAAGGUAA